UACGAAGGGGGCUAGCGUUGCUCGGAAUCACUGGGCGUAAAGGGUGCGUAGGCGGCGGAGUAAGUUGGGUGUGAAAUCCCGGGGCUCAACCCGGGAACUGCGUCUGAUACUGGAUGGCUAGAGGUUGGGAGAGGGAUGCGGAAUUCCAGGUGUAGCGGUGAAAUGCGUAGAUAUCUGGAGGAACACCGGUGGCGAAGGCGGCAUCCUGGACCAAUUCUGACGCUGAGGAGCGAAAGCCAGGGGAGCAAACGGG
rnacentral:rRNA from 1 species